rnacentral:rRNA from 1 species
AGCAGCCGCCGCGGUAAUACGAAGGGUGCAAGCGUUACUCGGAAUUACUGGGCGUAAAGCGUGCGUAGGUGGUGGUUUAAGUCCGUUGUGAAAGCCCUGGGCUCAACCUGGGAAUUGCAGUGGAUACUGGGUCACUAGAGUGUGGUAGAGGAUGGUGGAAUUCCCGGUGUAGCGGUGAAAUGCGUAGAGAUCGGGAGGAACAUCAGUGGCGAAGGCGGCCAUCUGGGACAACACUGACGCUGAGGCACGAAAGCGUGGGGAGCAAACAGGAUUAGAUACCCCCGUAGUCCCUGUCUCUUAUAC